GUGUUUAGUGUUUGGUGUUGAUUGUUUAGUGUUGAAUGUGGUGUUGAAUGCGGUGUUGAGUGUUUGGUGUUGA